rnacentral:rRNA from 1 species
GAUGAACGCUGGCGGCGUGCCUAAUACAUGCAAGUCGUACGGAAAGGCCCUUCGGGGUACUCGAGUGGCGGACGGCUGAGUAACGCGUGGGAACGUGCCCCAAAGUGAGGGAUAACGCACCGAAAGGUGUGCUAAUACCGCAUAUGGUCUUCGGAUUAAAGCUUCGGCGCUUUGGGAGCGGCCCGCGUACGAUUAGAUAGUUGGUGAGGUAAUGGCUCACCAAGUCGACGAUCGUUAGCUGGUCUGAGAGGAUGAUCAGCCAGACUGGGACUGAGACACGGCCCAGACUCCUACGGGAGGCAGCAGUAGGGAAUCUUCCGCAAUGGGGGCAACCCUGAUGGAGCAACGCCGCGUGCAGGAUGAAGGUUUUCGGAUCGUAAACUGCUUUUAUAAGUGACGAAGAUGACGGUAGCUUAUGAAUAAGGACCGGCUAACUACGUGCCAGCAGCCGCCGUAA